AUGAAGAGAUUUGUGACUGAGUGGCGGACGGGUGAGUAACGCGUGGGUAACCUGCCUCAUACAGGGGGAUAACAGUUAGAAAUGACUGCUAAUACCGCAUAAAACAGCAGAGUCGCAUGACUCAACUGUCAAAGAUUUAUCGGUGUAAGAUGGACCCCGUCUGAUUAGCUGGUUGGUGGGGUAACGGCCUACCAAGGCGACGAUCAGUAGCCGGACUGAGAGGUUGAACGGCCACAUUGGGACUGAGAUACGGCCCAGACUCC
rnacentral:rRNA from 1 species